rnacentral:rRNA from 1 species
UUUAAUUGGAUUCAACGACCGGACAUCUCACCRGGGGACGACAGCAGGAUGAUAGYCAGAYUGAUGAUCUUGCUUAACUAGCUGAGAGGAGGUGCAUGGCCGCCGUCAGCUCGUACCGUGAGGCGUCCUGUUAAGUCAGGCAACGAGCGAGACCCACGCCMUYAGUUACCAGCGGAUCCCUACGGGAAUGCCRGGMMCACUAUAGGGGACCGCCAGUGAUAAACAUGGAGGAAGGAGUGGACGACGGUAGGUCCGUWUGCCCCGAAWUCCCCUGGGCUACACSCGGGCUACAAUGGCUAGGACAAUGGGUUCCAACACUGAAAAGUGAAGGUAAUCUCCUAAACCUAGUCUUAGUUCGGAUUGAGGGCUGUAACUCGCCCUCAUGAAGCUGGAAUGCGUANUAAUCGCGUGUCAUAACCGC